rnacentral:lncRNA from 1 species
UGAACACAAUGGCUUACCAUCAUACGUGUAGUGCAGUGGGAUUCAACAGACUGAUGCUCCUAUGAGCUGGAUGAGAAGUACUUUUUCUCUUUCAGUUGAACUUUUCUUUAUAAGUAAUAAAGAACAUAUAUCAACAUGCCAAAAGGGGGUUCUCUCUUUCAAUAAUUUGACUCUUAUUACCACCUUAACAUGUAGCCAUUUAGCAGUCUUGAUUUUUUUUGUAUUUUCUUUUGCACCUGAUAUUUUGCUGAUUAAUAUCUAACAUUCCAACACUGAAUAGCUCCAGAAUCUCAAGUUUAUGACUAUGCUUGUGUAAGUCUUGUGGUUUGUUUAAUACUAACCAUCCCUUUUGUUGUGAAGUCAAAUCAACCGAACUGACGUAAUCUUGCCUUCAGGGGGCUCCAGACUAUUGGCG